rnacentral:tRNA from 1 species
UGGGGCGUAGCCAAGCGGUAAGGCAGUGGAUUUUGAUUCCGCCAUGCCCAGGUUCGAAUCCUGGCGCCCCAGCCA